CUAUAUUUACAAUUUUCUUCUUAGGCCAGAGUAGACAGAAUCAACAUUGAUGGAUUGUCAAGAACUAGAAAUGAUAUAGUAGAGGACUGUAUUAAAGAAUUAUUCAAAGCUAAAGAUUUUCAAGAAGUUCUUUUGAAGGCGCAUAGGGCUCGAGUGAAAUUAGAUGAACUAGGCUGUUUUAAAAACAUUUCCAUUUUUGUUGAUACAAGCAAAGGUCCCAAAUCAACUCCUGAUGGUUUAGAGGUAUUAGUUUUUUUCAAUGGAAAAUUGGUUGUUAUCCAAAAAAACCAAUUUUGAAUGAAGCAAAUCAUUUUGGUUUUGGUUAUGGAUGUGCCUUAUGUACUGUAGUUGAUUUUUUUGACUCGUUUGAAGACUGGGAGUUCUCGGGUCUAAAUUUGAAAAUAUUUUGUGUGAUAUUGAUAUUGAUAAAAUAAACUGCAUGAUGUACUAGACAGCUUCAACCUCAUACAAGAUAUUAAGAAACCAACCAGAAUUGGAGCUACAAAAAUGACUUAAUUGGAUUUUUUGCUGUUCUGUGUCAUGUGUAGGGUGGUAUCAACACGUGUGACUGAUCAGCCGUUUUAUUAUGUCUACAGAGACUUCAGAAAUUAGCAAUAAUGAUUUUUUAACAGACUGCAAAUAGAUUUCAAUCCUAUAUUGUAUACUAGAGACAUUAAUGAAAAAAUUGAAAUUAGAAUAGCCCUGAUUACAAAAUAUAUUUUUGUAUUCUGAUAUGACUUCAAUGUGAUAUAGUGCAUAAGUUGAAUGUCGCAACAUAUAUGUUAUUUCUUAACUGUAAUGGGGUAACCCGUUUAUAAAUAAAUAAAUAAAAAUCA